UACGUAGGCGGAAAAUUAAGUCAGUAGUGAAAUCCCGCAGCUUAACUGUGGAACUGUUAUUGAUACUGGUUUUCUUGAAUGUAGUUGAGGUAGGCGGAAUGUGUAAUGUAGCGGUGAAAUGCUUAGAUAUUACACAGAACACCGAUUGCGAAGGCAGCUUACUAAACUAUGAUUGACGCUGAGGCACGAAAGCGUGGGGAGCGAACAGGAUUAGAUACCCUGGUAGUCC
rnacentral:rRNA from 1 species